UGGGGAAUAUUGCACAAUGGGCGAAAGCCUGAUGCAGCAACGCCGCGUGAGUGAUGAAGGCCUUCGGGUUGUAAAGCUCUGUCUUUUGGGACGAUAAUGACGAUACCAAAGGAGGAAGCCACGGCUAACUACGUGCCAGCAGCCGCGGUAAUACGUAGGUGGCAAGCGUUGUCCGGAUUUACUGGGCGUAAAGGAUGCGUAGGCGGAUUUUUAAGUGAGAUGUGAAAACCCUAAGCUUAACUUGGGGACUGCAUUUCAUACUGGAAAUCUAGAGUGCGGGAGAGGAGAAUGGAAUUCCUAGUGUAGCGGUGAAAUGCGUAGAGAUUAGGAAGAACACCAGUGGCGAAGGCGAUUCUCUGGACCGUAACUGACGCUGAGGCAUGAAAGCGUGGGUAGCAAACAGGAUUAGAUACCCUGGUAGUCCACGCCGUAAACGAUGAGUACUAGGUGUAGGAGGUAUCGACCCCUUCUGUGCCGCAGUUAACACAAUAAGUACUCCGCCUGGGAAGUACGAUCGCAAGAUUAAAACUUAAAUGAAUUGACGGGGUCAUAGCUGUUUCCU
rnacentral:rRNA from 1 species